rnacentral:lncRNA from 1 species
GGGUCCAAAGACUGUCACAAUGAGGAGGUCUGAUAGCAGUGGGGGUGGGAGGGUGAGAGGGUUCAGGGGUGCUCACGUGGCUACCUUCCUGGUGCUGGAGUGAUGGCGGUGGCACUGGCAGGUGAGGGCGCAGCACUCAGAACUGUGGACUGGGCCCAAGCAGGCCUUCCUGGCACUGGAGCAAUGGUGGCGGCGCCGGUGUGUCAUGUAUCCAAAGAACUGAGCACCAAAGAAAUGAGGAACCCAGCCUCAAAAAGACAGAUUAAAAAUACCAAGAAAAGACAAAUGCAGAGAGUAACGAAGAGGUUGACAGGAAGGAGAAAUAAAAUGCCUAUUUCCAGCUGAGCUAGAAGUUUACUCCUCAAAAUAAAACUUUGAAGCAAAUUUAAGCUUGUUCCAGAGCAAAAAUGUUUUCCAGGC